rnacentral:rRNA from 1 species
CACCGGCGGCUCGAGUGGUGGCCACUUUUAUUGGGUCUAAAGCGUCCGUAGCCGGUUUGGCAAGUCCCCUGGGAAAUCUGGCGGCUUAACCGUCAGGCGUCCAGAGGAUACUGCCAGGCUUGGGACCGGGAGAGGUGAGAGGUACCUCAGGGGUAGGGGUGAAAUCUUGUGAUCCCUGAGGGACCACCAGUGGCGAAGGCGUCUCACUAGAACGGGUCCGACGGUCAGGGACGAAAGCUGGGGGCACGAACCGG